AUGUUUGAGGUUCUAAUUCGUAACAGAUUGUAGGCUUCAACGUCAGUGAAUUUUUGCGUUGCUUGUGCUAACUGCGGACUGUGUUUCAAGAUGUGCAAGAUAAAAUAUGCGACCGGCGAUCUGUUCUCCGCUCCAAACCAGGAAUCAUUAGCGCACUGCGUUAGUGAAGAUUUACGAAUGGGGAAGGGAAUCGCAGUUUUAUUCAAAAAGAAUUUUGGUCGAGUCACCGAGUUAAAGGAGCAGAGUGAGUUUUUUUUUUUUUUAAAAAAAAGAGAGAAAUUGCGCAUCCUCGCCAUGGCGGUGCUAUCUGAAUCUCAGUACAAUGAACUAUUAGGGGAUCUCGUCUUGCAAGAUACGGAGAGGACGAGCGUACCGCAGUUACAGUACGAUUUACAGGGGGAUCGAGUCACUAGAGCUGCAAGGAGAGUGCAACGGAGACCGGAUAAUUCUACACAAAACGAAAAACGGAGCCGUCGUCUUACAAGCGUCAAUCCUAUCGAGGGGUCAAGACGUAGAGGAAUUAAACCGCAGAACAAGCUUUCCAUCGUUAAUGAAUUAAUUUCAGAGGCUCUAAUGCUUAUCCACGCGGUUCCUGGUUCUGCUUCUGAUCGCAUAUUGAGCAGGAAGAGACGGAUCAGACAUCACCGUCUUAUGGAACGAGACAAUAAGGCGUCUGUUACCGCAUUACUGGAUGCAAGUCAAAUCCUCUUACGUGUACGUUA